rnacentral:lncRNA from 1 species
UUGGGUAUUUCUUGAAAAACUCCAUCUUUUGUCCCAUGUUUAGAUUGCUUAUGUAUCAAAGGUUCUUUGAUAAAAGCAUGACCAUUUAGCCCAAAACAAGUUCCUUUGUGACUUGAUCAAGAUACCUAUUAUUUUAUGGUUGAUAGGGCUUUCUGCUAUAUUUUCUUUAGGCCUUUUGAGACAAAGGUAGAAGUAGGGUUGUAUGGAUCAAGCUUAUAUUCCCUAUCAAUUAAAUCUUAGCCUUACCAUUUAUCUUCCUUUGGC